CACGUAGGGCGCAAGCGUUGUCCGGAAUUAUUGGGCGUAAAGGGCUCGUAGGCGGUUUGUCACGUCGGGAGUGAAAACUCGGGGCUCAACCCCGAGCCUGCUUCCGAUACGGGCAGACUAGAGGUAUGCAGGGGAGAAUGGAAUUCCUGGUGUAGCGGUGAAAUGCGCAGAUAUCAGGAGGAACACCGGUGGCGAAGGCGGUUCUCUGGGCAUUACCUGACGCUGAGGAGCGAAAGUGUGGGGAGCGAACAGG
rnacentral:rRNA from 1 species